AGUGAGGAAUAUUGCACAAUGGAGGGAACUCUGAUGCAGCAACGCCGCGUGGAGGAUGACGCAUUUCGGUGUGUAAACUCCUUUUAUAUGUCAAGAAAAUGACGGUAGCAUAUGAAUAAGCACCGGCUAACUCCGUGCCAGCAGCCGCGGUAAUACGGAGGGUGCAAGCGUUACUCGGAAUCACUGGGCGUAAAGGACGCGUAGGCGGGAUGGUAAGUCUGAUGUGAAAUCCUACAGCUCAACUGUAGAACUGCAUUGGAAACUACUAACCUAGAGUAUGGGAGGGGGAGAUGGAAUUAGUGGUGUAGGGGUAAAAUCCGUAGAUAUCACUAGGAAUACCUAAAGCGAAGGCGAUCUCCUGGAACAAUACUGACGCUAAGGCGUGAAAGCGUGGGGAGCAAACGGGAUUAGAUACCCCGGUAGUCCACGCCCUAAACGAUGAACACUAGUCGUCGGGAUGCUUGUCAUCUCGGUGAUGCACUUAACAGAUUAAGUGUUCCGCCUGGGGAGUACGGUCGCAAGAUUAAAACUCAAAGGAAUAGACGGGGACCCGCACAAGUGGUGGAGCAUGUGGUUUAAUUCGAAGAUACGCGAAGAACCUUACCUAGCCUUGACAUUGAUUGAACCCACCAGAGAUGGAGGGGUGCCCUUCGGGGAACAUGAAAACAGGUGCUGCACGGCUGUCGUCAGCUCGUGUCGUGAGAUGUUGGGUUAAGUCCCGCAACGAGCGCAACCCUCGUCAAUAGUUGCCAGCAGGUUAAGCUGGGCACUCUAUUGAGACUGCCUUCGCAAGGAGGAGGAAGGUGAGGACGACGUCAAGUCAUCAUGGCCCUUACGGCUAGGGCUACACACGUGCUACAAUGGGGCGUACAGAGUGUUGCGAUACCGCGAGGUGGAGCUAAUCACUUAAAGCGUCUCUCAGUUCGGAUUGGAGUCUGCAACUCGACUCCAUGAAGCUGGAAUCACUAGUAAUCGUAGAUCAGCAAUGCUACGGUGAAUACGU
rnacentral:rRNA from 1 species